ACCUUCCUCCAUUUUACAGAUGGUAAAGCUGAGGCUCAGAAGAGCGGGGGACUUGCCCAAGGUCUCAAAGCUAUGACUGGUCAUGGCAGCUCUACCAGCCAGGUUCCAGAGGGGGAGGUCCUGGAGCACAUCCCCCGGCUCACUCGUGAAGGACAUGUGGCCUAGGCCCUCGGACUCAGACUGACGGGCACUCCUGGCUCCCUGGGUCUGCAGCGCGCAGACGGCAGGCGGUGGGGCUUCUCAGCCUCUCCAACCGUGUGAGCCAGCUCCUACCAUGAGCCUCACACAGCUCUCCAUCUAUCCUGCUGGUUCUGUUUCUCUGGAAAACCCCAACUAACACAACCCCCUCUGGGCACCACGGUCCCAGAAGACGAGCGACCCAGUGAGGAAGGGAGCCGUGACAGCUGGAGGCGGGCUCUGCGAGGCAGGAGGCCACCGUCCUCCAUCUGAAACUGCCGCCCAGACACACAAAUCCGGCCUCCCAGCCCCAGAGGUUUGGUUUUUUCACUCAUAAUUUGGUCAUCUGUGCUAAAAUUGCAAAUAAUCACAAUGGCAUAAUAACCUUACGACUUGGUGCGUGGUGUGUUUAAGAGAAUGGAUACUUGGACCUGAAAAUGGAGUGUCUGGCUCAGGGGUCACCAACCUGCUGUAGCCAGCACCCAGAUCCA
rnacentral:lncRNA from 1 species